rnacentral:rRNA from 1 species
GAUGAACGCUGGCGGCGUGCCUAAUACAUGCAAGUCGAGCGAACAGACGAGGAUCUUGCUCCUCUGACGUUAGCGGCUGACGGGUGAGUAACACGUGGAUAACCUACCUAUAAGACUGGGAUAACUUCGGGAAACCGGAGCUAAUACCGGAUAAUAUAUUGAACCGCAUGGUUCAAUAGUGAAAGACGGUUUUGCUGUCACUUAUAGAUGGAUCCGCGCCGCAUUAGCUAGUUGGUAAGGUAACGGCUUACCAACGCAACGAUGCGUAGCCGACCUGAGAGGGUGAUCGGCCACACUGGAACUGAGACACGGCCCAGACUCCGACGGGAGGCCGCAGUAGGGAAUCUUACGCAAUGGGGGAAAGGCUGACGGAGCAAAGUCGCGUGAGUGAUGAAGGUGUUCGGAUCGUAAAACUCUGUUAUUAGGGAAGAACAAAUGUGUAAGUAGCUAUGCACGUCUUGACGGUACCUGAUCAGAAAGCCACGGCUAACUACGUG